rnacentral:pre_miRNA from 1 species
UUGGUUUGUUCUAAGUCAAACUUGUUCAACUUUAACCAAAAUUAUAGAAAAAUAUAACAACAAUGAUACUACCAAAUAUAUGCACUAUCAAAACAUAUUCUAUGGUAGAUUCAACCAAACAAAUUUGGUAUUAUAAAUAUUGUUAUUUUCUAUAAACUUGGUUAAAGUUGAACAAGUUGGACUUAGGACAAACCAAA